rnacentral:rRNA from 1 species
CAGCCGCCGCGGUAAUACGGAGGGUGCAAGCGUUAAUCGGAAUUACUGGGCGUAAAGCGCACGCAGGCGGUCUGACAAGUCAGAUGUGAAAUCCCCGGGCUUAACCUGGGAACUGCAUUUGAAACUGUCAGGCUGGAGUCUUGUAGAGGGGGGUGUAAUUCCAGGUGUAGCGGUGAAAUGCGUAGAGAUCUGGAGGAAUACCGGUGGCGAAGGCGGCCCCCUGGACAAAGACUGACGCUCAGGUGCGAAAGCGUGGGGAGCAAACAGGAUUAGAUACCCCUGUAGUCCCUGUCUCUUAUAC